AUUUUAACAUUUCAACAUCCCUCGUUCGGCAGCUUGUGCAAUAUCACUUCCCUCCAACUCAUUUCAUUUCUCUUCCCAUCACCACAGUCCUGUCGCGUUCCUUCAACCUCCACAGCUCCACUUGCACAAUCGCCACCGUCUUCAAAACCUGCGCCUCUCUUUCUCUCGGAGCUCAGAUCCAAAGUCUGAGCAAAGCAAAUUCGCUCAGCAUCAAUGGGGUAAUCCUUCUCUCCAUUUCAAUUUGUAGGUAAUGGGUAAAACCCAAAUUGGGGUUUCUUUUAGAUCUGUGGAUGAACACGCACCAAGUUUUGAAGACACGAGCCCAGCACCUGUAAUUGACGGUGGUGGAGGAGUCAGAAGCAUCAGGACGCAGAGCAAGGUCUAGAGGCAAAUUUUGUCGUUGAAAUUUUGUUUGUUUUAUUAACUAUAUUCUUCGUGAUUAAUAGAAUCAGAAGGAUUAUUCCUUUAAUUUUUAAGCAAAUCUAGUUGAUGCUGAUUUGCCUUAUAAGAUUUGCUUAGCUUGGAAUGUGGUUUGAGGUUAUUGGUUCAGCCAGACGUUGAUGUAUGGUCUUGAUGUGCUGUUGGCUUUUUUGCUAAAUAUAGUUUACAUUAUGGUUUGACCGAAAGUGUUGAUUGUUAGUUUGUGUCUAGAAUUGUAGAGGUUGUUUGUAUUCGGAAUUUUGAGAAUUGCAUAUCAUUGACUGUCUUGAAAUGUUCUCUUCUGCCUGUAAUGAUUACGAGGUGAAAUGUUUGAUCGAUUUUGAGUCCUUGAUCUUACUUUGAAGAAGAAGAAGAAUCACGCAGACACUUAGAAAGUUUUGAGGUGCUAAAUAAGAUAAGUGCUACUUCACCAAAUCUCCCUGCUGUUUCUUCACUACUGCUUCUAAGGUUGCUUUGGAAUGUUAAUCUUUCUUGGUGUUUUGAUUGGAGCAGUAUGAGUAUUGCUGAAGCAUUGCGAUUGCAGGUAGAACUCCAAAAGCAGCUUCAUGAACAACUUGAGAAUUUCAUUCUAGGUUAAUUGUUAGCUCGGUGGAUGGGAAUACUCGUAAAAUACACAAGAAAAGAACUAAGAAUAGGAAUGGUUGGUAUAUCUGUUGUCAUUGAUUGCAAGGUCAUUGCACACAACUAAUAUACUGAUGGUUGAUUCAUAGCGUCACCAAUUUUUUUCUGGGAUAGAUUGGAGUGCAAGGUCAAACAAAAUACUUACUUCAUAUCAGGAUUGGAACUUGAGAAGAUUUCCUUGUACCUUCUUUUAAGAGGAAAAAAGUUCGCAUCGAAUGAAUCUCUGAUCCAUACGAGAGGGAAAAGAGGCAAACUGGCAUUGAAAGCCUUUUUUUUUUAGGCAUUGGAGGAAUCUGGAUGUUGAAACACUUUGUAAAAGAGAUGGCAUGGUGACCAAAUCCAGAGCUCUUGUCAUCACUGGAGUAGAAAUGAAAUGUGGUAGUUUUUCAGAAGUUUGAUGGGAAUGUUAAACACUGAAUUCAGCACCAAGUUAUCAAUAUGAUUGAAGCCUGGUCCCCGUAUA